UAGGGAAUAUUGCGCAAUGGCCGCAAGGCUGACGCAGCGACGCCGCGUGUGGGAGGACGCCCUUCGGGGUGUAAACCACUGUCAGGGGGGAAGAACCCCGUGUUUGCAAAUAGCUUGCACGGCUGACGGUACCCCCAGAGGAAGCGCCGGCUAACUCCGUGCCAGCAGCCGCGGUAAGACGGAGGGCGCGAGCGUUGUUCGGAAUUACUGGGCGUAAAGCGCGGGCAGGCGGUCUUCUAAGUCCCUUGUGAAAGCCCGGAGCUCAACUCCGGAAUUGCAAAGGAUACUGGAAGACUGGAGACCGGUAGAGGCUAGCGGAAUUCCUGGUGUAGCGGUGGAAUGCGUAGAUAUCAGGAAGAACACCUGUGGCGAAGGCGGCUAGCUGGGCCGGGUCUGACGCUCAUCCGCGAAAGCGUGGGGAGCAAACAGGAUUAGAUACCCGCGUAGUCC
rnacentral:rRNA from 1 species